UGAUAGCUGUGAAGCGUGAGGUUGCUGUCUUAUCCAGUGAGACAGGUUUUCCGUGGAGCGAAUGUCAAGAGACCGCAAGGUCAGACAAUCUGACGACAA
ncrna:Butyrivibrio sp. AD3002 S10-Clostridia ribosomal protein leader